rnacentral:lncRNA from 1 species
GCUGCUCCUGGUGCCCUGUUCUGGGCCAGGGCUGUUCCUGGUGCCCAGGGGCUGGUCCUAGUGCCCUGUUCUGGGCCAGGGCUGCUCCUGGUGCCCCAUUCUGGGCACAGGGCUGGUCCUAGUGUCCUGUUCUGGGCCCAGGGCUGCUCCUGGUGCCCUGUUCUGGGCCAGGGCUGCUCCUGGUGCCCUGUUCUGGGCCAGGGCUGCUCCUGGUGCCCCAUUCUGGGCACAGGGCUGCUCCUGGUGCCCUGUUCUGUGCCCAGGGCUGCUCCUGGUGCCACAUUCUUGGGCCAGCGCUGCUCCUGGUGCCCUGUUCUGGGCCAGGGUUGGUCCUGGUGUCCUGUUCUGAGCCAUGGCUGCUACUGGUGCGCUGUUCUGGAACCUUGGGCUGGUCCUAGUGUCCUGUUCUGGACCAAGGCUGCUCCUGGUGCCCCAUUCUGGACCAGGGCUGCUCCUAGUGCCCCGUUCUAGGCCCAGCGCUGCUCCUGGUGCCCCAUUCUGGGCCAGGGCUGCUCCUGGUGCCCCGUUCUGGGCCCAGCGCUGCUCCUGGUGCCCUGUUCUGGGCCCAGCGCUGCUCCUGGUGCCCCGUUCUGGGCCAGGGCUGCUCCUGGUGCCCCAUUCUGGGCCUUUCCUUUGGUGCUGGGCUUGUCCUUGAGGAAUGGAGCACGCAGCUCCUGGGCAGAGUGGCCCCUCCUGGCCUGCCCUGCUGCUCUGUGAGCUCAGCGGCCACUGGUCGCUCCUGAGCCUGUGCAUGGCUGCAGGACACCUGUGUAGGCGGCGCCCAGCCCGGGCCUGCCAGGGCCACGUGCCCAGCUGAUCCGAAGUGCCCAGUGUGGUGUCUGGGCCUGGCAGGGGCGUGAACGGACUUGUUAGCAAUACACCAGCGUGGGCACCUGUUCUCAGAAUUCCCACGUGGGUCCACAUAGCUGCCCCCGCACCUCCAGUGAGACCUCGUGAUACCUGUGCACCUGCCUGCUCCUCUCGCCACGGGGUCCUGAUGGGCCUGGCGGACCCCAGCAUGUGUCCCUGAGUCAGCCGUGCCCACUCCAGCUGCCCUCAGCACUGUAGACCUGGUAUACGCAGCAACACGUGGCGUAAAUUCAGGC